GCUGGCUGGUGGGGUAACGGCCCACCAGGGCGACGAUGGCUAGGGGGUCUGAGAGGACGAUCCCCCACACUGGUACUGAGACACGGACCAGACUCCUACGGGAGGCAGCAGUGAGGAAUAUUGGUCAAUGGGCGGAAGCCUGAACCAGCCAUGCCGCGUGCAGGAUGACGGCCCUACGGGUUGUAAACUGCUUUUCCCCGGGGCGAAUAACCCCCUCGCGAGGGGGGAUGCCGGUACCGGGGGAAUAAGGAUCGGCUAACUCCGUGCCAGCAGCCGCGGUAAUACGGAGGAUCCGAGCGUUAUCCGGAUUUACUGGGUUUAAAGGGUGCGUAGGCGGGUGGCUCAGUCGGCGGUGAAAUGCAGCGGCUCAACCGUUGCCCUGCCGUCGAAACUGGCCGCCUUGAAUUCGGUCGAGGCCGGCGGAAUGCGCGGUGUAGCGGUGAAAUGCUUAGGUAUCGCGCGGAACGCCGAUUGCGGAGGCAGCUGGCUGGACCGAGAUUGACGCUGAUGCACGACAGCGUGGGGAUCGAACAGGAUUAGAUACCCUGGUAGUCCACGCCGUAAACGAUGAUGGCUGGGUGUUGGCGAUACACUGUCAGCGCCUGA
rnacentral:rRNA from 1 species